CGUAGUUGGAGUUCAGAUUGAGCUCGGCCGGUCGGCCUAAUUGGUCAUUUACUGGUUGACUCUGUCUUGUUUGUGGAUCCCUCCGGAGUUAACUCUUCGGAUGUGGAGUCCACAUCGUUUACCUUGAAAAAAUUAGAGUGUUCAAAGCAGGCGUUUGCUUGAAUAUAUUAGCAUGGAAUAAUGGAAUAGGACGCUGGUUCUAUUUUGUUGGUUUUGAGAACCAGAGUAAUGAUUAAUAGGGACAGUUGGGGGCAUUCAUAUUUCAUUGUCAGAGGUGAAAUUCUUGGAUUUAUGAAAGAUGAACUUCUGCGAAAGCAUUUGCCAAGGAUGUUUUCAUUAAUCAAGAACGAAAGUUAGGGGAUCGAAGACGAUCAGAUACCGUCGUAGUCUUAACCAUAAACUAUGCCGACUAGGGAUUGGACGUGGUUUGUUCAUUGACCCGUUCAGCACCUUACGAGAAAUCAAAGUCUUUGGGUUCCGGGGGGAGUAUGGUCGCAAGGCUGAAACUUAAAGGAAUUGACGGAGGGGCACCACCAGGAGUGGAGCCUGCGGCUUAAUUUGACU
rnacentral:rRNA from 1 species